AUCCUGCUUCAGCCUUCUCCUACCAUAACCCCAAGCUCCCCACACGAGCUCAAGGCCAGGCACCUGUCCCCCCAUGCUAGCCAGGAGGCUUCUAUAGGCCAAUUUCGGACGUGUCAGACGUGUCUACCUGUACCGCGGCACUGGUCCUGAUGCGGGGAGGGAGCCACGGGUUCCUGAUCUCGAGGGAUCAUAUACAUCUCAUCUCACAUACACCAACGCCUCCAAUUCCUCCAGUUUCACCGAUUCCUCCAGUUCCUGUCCACUUCUUUCACUUCCAUUAGUCAACCCCACCCGAUCUUCCGCUGCCGGAUCCUUUCCCACGCAGCUGCAAUUCUGCAACUUGUGAUUUUUCUUCGUUGCAUGAGGUACCGCCGGGGCAGCCCUGGACUGGGGAGAGCCUGGAUUUACCCUUGCGCUGUUGGCGUUGGGUUCUCUGCCAAGCUCCAAUGACUUCUGGGAGAAUCAGCAGGGCAGCCCAGCUGACAGAGUGCCAGGCAUUUGAAUCCUUCUCUUCAAUCUUCGCCACGUCUCCAUUUUGCCAAAAGGAAAAGGAAACUGAGAUUAAGGUCGAUUGCUUUGGUCAACUCCACAAGGGAGAUUGGAGCCCAGAUCCCGUUGGGAACCUCUCUGCAGUUUAAGCCACGCAGUCUCGGGUGAAUUGAGUCCUGGCAGGACAUGGGCCAACUAAGCAGAGAGAGAGUGGGCUUGAAUCUCCCAGUGUUCCUUUGUUUCGACCCCGGGAAAGCUUUGAAAUUCUUAUUUUCAAGUAAAUGAUUUUGGCAGCGCUUAGAGAAAGACGGAAGUAAGACUCAAGGAGGGACUUGUAGCAAGUUAUGGGAGAACCCCCAGGGAGGUGUCGGGCCCAAGAUCACUCCUGGAUUUGUCCUUAGAGUCGAUCCAUCUGCUCAUGAGUUUGGAGGUCCUGUAGGACCUAUGUCCCGGGCAUUCUUGGAUUGAGAGAGAGAAGGGGCGCAGGGCCAGUGGCUGUCCCAAAUUAUCCCACCCCCACACACACACACUUUCUCUCCAGGGGCUCCAUUUGAGGACCCCUCCACCCAAGUGGCUGUAAGGGAGCAGAGUGGAAGCUGGAGCCUGGGAACCUCUGGGCUGGCAGGGAGGGGCUGGAGCCCAACUCCCCGACGACCCCGUCCUGGGCCCCAGCCGCGGGAUCGCCCCGUGGCAGCCCCUACAGGCCACAAGUCCCUCCCCACAAGUCCCAUUAUGUUGUAUUUAUGUUUCUCUUUAUUGUUUUUCCCCCUCUCUUAUUAUGGUCUCACUCUGGGGGAGGCAAAGGAUAUAAUAUAUUCAUCUUUAUUAUACGAAAUCUGUGUGAAGCAUUUAAUAAAACGCUGUUUCCACACAGUCAGGGAUAUUAGUGAGAGCCAUUCUUAAGUUAAUGCUCCUGUACAGAGGGGGCCUCCGUCACAGCGCCUGCUGCUGGCGGAGCGUGGGAAGCGCAAGCCCUGGUCGGCUUGCGCACCUUGCCCACCCUGGGUGGCUCUUCUCACUGGCCUGUCCCAGCCCCUUUGCCCAUCCCAGGGCAUCUCUCUGUGAACCCUCGGGCUCCAGCUUGUCAGGGGGGUUCAGAGCAGCCGAGAUCAAGCCCCGUACAUUCUUAACUCUCUGUGAGCCGUGGUUUGUGCCUAUGAAAAAUGGGAAGAAGUCCAUCGUUCCCUCCCUCUUGGGAGUCUGAAAACACUGUGAAUUGAGUCCCAGCACUGUGAGGGUGAACAGGAUUUUAUAACAGGAAAGAAAAGUUCGAGGAUCUAUGUGGAGGGGAUAUAUGAGGGCCAGAGAGAAACCAGGGGGCUGCAGGAGUGGUUCCAGGCAACUUAGACUAAACUAGACCCCAGGGGAGCAAACAGGGCAACUCCAGUUUGAGGGAAGACCAAAAGGUUUCCCAAUGCCCACCUGGGCCUCACUCCCAGUGAGUGAAGACUGCCAAACCUAGAAAGGAUUUUCAUCUGUCACCCUUGGCUCUCAAAUAGUCUUUUUUGUGAACAGAAAAAUAGUCUUAAGUUCCAUUUACAGCUAGUAAAUUGAGGCUCAGAAAAAUCAGGUAGCUUGUUUGAGGUGUCCCAUCCAGGAAGUAGUAUAGCAGCUCAUGCCUUCUGCCAAACUCAGUGUCCCUCUCCCCCCAGCCCUCCUGCUCCCUUCCCCUACCUCCACAUCCAUCCUCCAGGGUUUUUCAUGGCCUGUAAACUUUACAUUCUGCCUUCUACACACACACACACUCCUAGGGAUGUCCAUGGUAAGGAGAAUCAAUCUCAUAAUUUUCCAGAUCCAGGCCCAUUGCCCUUUAGAGAUUACUGGCUGGUGCUUUUAGGGCCCAGAUUUAGUCUGACUUAGGCUGCUUGUGCCAAUGCAUCAGGGAGAACCGGUGGCCAGGUCAGACCAACAGAAUUUGGGCAGGAAAGGAUUGAAGGGGGCAUUGAGCCUCUAUGGUUAGGAUUAAUUCCCUCCCCCAAGUCUCAGUCCUCUCUGCCCUUGUCACCCAUCAUUGGGGUAGAGGCUAAACCAGAUCACCCACAUCCUAAGGGCUGCUGGGGGAGCUUACUGGAGGCUGAAAAUACUUGAAGAAUCUGACAGCUCCCACCUGGGGCUGGCUGGGAGAGGAGGAUACAAGACUAAUUUCAUCAUAGGGCUAGGACUAAGAUGAGACAAGUGAGGUGCCUGGGACCCCAAACUUAAGGAGGCACUUUCUCUCUGUGUUGCUCCCCUUAAGUUUUGUGCCUUAGACAUCUCAUCACCCACCCUUAUCCCAGCUCUGUUGUGUGGUCCCAGGAGAUAGAAUCAUGACCCAUGAAUUGCUGAGAGGUGACUGAGAGGAUGAAUUCAGCUCAUCUUUGUGGUUUUCUGAAAGGUAGAAUUAUAAACAAUGGAAGGACCCACCUUGUGUGGGAGUGAGCUUCUGCCACUACAUGGAGUGUGCAAGCAGAACUUAGAACUUGCUGAAAAGGGUCCAGAUAUGGUAACUCAUACCUAUAAUCCCAGCUACUUAGGAGAUGGCAAUCAGGAGGAUUAAGGUUCAAGACCAGCCCAGGGAAAAAAUUACUGAAACCCCAUCUCAACCAAUA